rnacentral:tRNA from 1 species
GGCCUCGUAGCUUACCGGGUAGAGCAUGCACGUACAAAGCGUAGGCGGCAUCCAUGCGUGGAUUCGAAUCCCACCGAGGCCA